rnacentral:rRNA from 1 species
GUGAGGAAUUUCCGCAAUGGGCGAAAGCCUGACGGAGCAAUGCCGCGUGAAGGAUGAAGGCCUAUGGGUUGUAAACUUCUUUUCUCAGAAAAGAAUUAUGACGGUAUCUGAGGAAUAAGCAUCGGCUAACUCUGUGCCAGCAGCCGCGGUAAGACAGAGGAUGCAAGCGUUAUCCGGAAUGAUUGGGCGUAAAGCGUCUGUAGGUUGUUUAAAAAGUAUUCUGUCAAAGAUUAGGGCUUAACCCUAGAUAGGCAGAAUAAACUUUUAAGCUAGAGUUUGGUAGAGGCAGAGGGAAUUCCCGGUGGAGCGGUGAAAUGCGUAGAUAUCGGGAGGAACACCAAAGGCGAAGGCACUCUGCUGGGCCAAUACUAACACUGAGAGACGAAAGCGAGGGGAGCAAAUGGGAUUAGAAACCCGGGUAGUCC